rnacentral:lncRNA from 10 species
CUCUUGAGCUCCUUGCUGGAGCCCAAUCCCAGUCUGUGGAGUGUACUUUCAUUUAAAUAAAUCUGUGCGUUCUUUGCUUCAUUCUUUCAUUGCUUGGUUUGUGCAUUUUGUCCAGUUCCUUGUUCAAAAUGCCAAGAACCUGGAUGACUCAUAGUCAAGACCCUCCACCAGUAACAUAUAUUGGCGAGCCAGCCAGGAGCUUGGAACCCUCGGUGGACAGUGCCUAAGCACAGAGGCAACCACAGGUUUCUAACAGGGCCACUCUCUGGUGAAACUGAAAGGUUUCUGUGUGAAAGUGCCUGACCACCACUGCCCAAUUCAGUUGCAGGAAUUUAGCCAAUUCAGAGGUCUUGUUCUCCAUAAUUUGGAAUUUUCCUUCGGAUUUGAUCAAGUUGGAUAGAGUUGGUCAAACCCAAUGGGAAAAAGAUGAAAACAACAAGAAACAGAAACAAACAGCAACAACAACAACAACAAAAACAAUGCAUUUAAUUAAAUGAAGAUGAGCUCAUGCUGGAGUAGGGUGGACUCUGAACCCAGUGGGACAAGCGUCCUUAUUAAGAAGAGGGAAAUCUGGACACACACAGAGCAGAGACCGCCGUGUGAAGAUGGAGGCAGAGAUCGGAGAGAUGCUGCCACACGCCACAAAUGCCUGGGGCUCCCAGAAACUACACGGAGCCUCCCCCAGCGGCUUCAGCAGGAGCAUGGCUCGGCCAACACUUUGAUCUUGGUCUUCCAGCCUCCAGAACGUUUUCCUAAAAUUCCCUUUUCCACUGGUGUGUGGUGCAAGAUGAGGCACAUUUUCCAUGGAUGGUGAACAGAGGGAGGAGCCUUUUGAUCACAACCAGGUCACCCCACUUCUAAGCCACUGUGCCUCCAGCCCCACAAGACUAAGGAGAGAGAGCGCAGCGUGGUGGAGAGUGAGCUGUGCUGGGACCAUUGUUUCCGUAACCUCGUUUUCUGUGUCCAGCUGACACACCUUCAAAGUGGCAUCAGGUCCUAAACUGUAGCUUGCAAUGUGCCUGUUUCCAGAAACCAAGGUGAAAGUGCUUUUAGACAGUGUUCCCAUGCAAGAGUCCCUUCCCAGCUUUUUUCUGGAAAUGCAUGUUUCUCUGAACUCUGAGUCCCAAGAAAAAUCACUUGAGACACCAAGAAAAUGGGGGAAGUGCUAAAAUUGUGUGGGAAUUCAAGCUUAACAAUAAACAUCAAGACAUUUUUGAUAAAAAUGAAUCCACUGACAUCGGGGAGGAGCAAGAGAACAGCACGCUGACACUGGGUCAGAGGCUAAGACCGACAUUUCUGGGAACCACUCCCGGAAGGGCACAGAGGAGACGCUUUCAGCCUCUCAUCAGCCAGCCUGGCCUGUAGCUGCUGCACGUUAUGAGUGUGUUCCUGGCAUGACUGCUUCUAACAUUUUUGCCCGAAUGAUGAAGGAGGAAGUUUACAUCUUGCUCCCUGGGGACAGGCAGAGACAGUGUGUGCACUUCCAUC